rnacentral:rRNA from 1 species
UACCCCCGUAACUUCGGGAGAAGGGGGACCUCUACCGGUGCGCAGCUUUUACGGUUGUUGUGCUGGUGGGGGUCGCAGAGAAUAGAGGGGAGCGACUGUUUAUCAAAAACACAGGUCCGUGCGAAGACGUGAUGUUGAUGUAUACGGACUGACGCCUGCCCGGUGCUGGAAGGUUAAGAGGACCUGUUAGAGCCCUUGUGGUUCGAAGCGGAGAAUUUAAGCCCCAGUAAACGGCGGUGGUAACUAUAACCAUCCUAAGGUAGCGAAAUUCCUUGUCGGGUAAGUUCCGACCUGCACGAAUGGCGUAACGACUCCCCUGCUGUCUCAACCACAGGCCCGGUGAAAUUGCAGUACGAGUAAAGAUGCUCGUUUCGCGCGGCAGGACGAAAAGACCCCGGGACCUUCACUAUAGCUUGGUAUUGGUGUUCGGUGCGGUUUGUGUAGGAUAGGUGGGAGACUGUGAAGCCGUCACGCUAGUGGUGGUGGAGUCGUUGUUGAAAUACCACUCUGACCGUAGUGGAUACCUUAACCUUGGCCCAUGAUCUGGGUUGGGGACAGUGCCUGGUGGGUAGUUUAACUGGGGCGGUUGCCUCCCAAAGAGUAACGGAGGCGCCCAAAGGUUCCCUCAGCCUGGUUGGCAAUCAGGUGUAAGAGUGUAAGUGCACAAGGGAGCUUGACUGUGAGACGUACAUGUCGA